ensembl:lncRNA
UCCCUCCCCUAGCGCGAGGCCAGAUUGCCGGGUCCGGAGUCCUCUCUCCCCAGUCGUUCGCUCUCGCGCCGCCUGCCUCAGUGGCAGGCUGGAGGAGGGGGCUGCGCGCGCGAGGCACAGCCGCGCGACGGGGGCACACGGGCGGCGCGGGGCGACUGGCCGCAGCAGCGCGCGAGGGCAACAAGUGGGUAAUUUUCCCGCCAGCAUGUCCCGGCGGCGGCUCCUGCCGUCCUCGAGGCGGGUGCCGACGCCCCCCGCUCUUUGAGAUCCGCGCUUGGAGAUCGCGACCCGGCCGGUGAGGAGAAGCGGCCGCCGCCGGGUCGAGGUGGCCGAGCCACCAGGGACUCUCCGGCGAGGGGCGGAGGCGCCUCCGCCCAGCCCAGCCCAGCCGCCCGUCCCUUUUCCUGGCCGGGACUGGGACCAUCCCCCCGGGGGUGAGGGAGGGCGAUCCGGCCCGCACGCGCCGCGGGGAGCAUCGCUGGCCGGCCAGAGCCCCCGCCCUGCCGCAGGGGCUGAGCGCGGCGGCGGCAGGAUGGAGCCCGGCUGCUGAGGCCGUUGUGAGCAGCAUGGUGGAGCCGGAAAGCGCCACAGGAACAGGCGACGCGGAGCCCAGCUGUUGUCUGGCAAGGUCAGCAAGGCGUGCUUAGGAGAAGUAAUCUCAGAGGAAUCUGAAAAUGUUCCCGAUUGCUCAAUGAUACCUUCAGCCAGUUAAGCACCUUUCUACACUGCGAUUACUGCAUUCAGAGGAUCCAGUUUCAACACAGUUAUCCCCUGACCUGCUUACAACAUGGUUCCACUUUGUAAUGAAGAAUGGAUGUUAAUUCUGUUGGAAACAUCCAAGGCUUUUAGCCUGGCUACGUAAAAGAGAUAAAGUCCUGUUUACAGUGCAAAUCAGAAUUAUGUUGAAAUGGGGACCUCAGACUUGAUUGUAAAUGUAGCUUAGAUUGGCUUUGAAUGGCUCCAAGCAGAUUCUUGUCCUGUUCUUUGCCACCAAGAUGAUGGCCUUGAUAUUGAGGGCGGUAGAUUGUGGAGGAGGGGAAAGUACUGUGAUAUGAUACAAUAGUUUUAUUUUAAAUUUUACAAACACAUGCUUAGAAUGACUUAGUAGACUUGUGCCUAGAUUAUUUCCAAGCAUAUAGAAACUGAGGAAAAACAAUUGGUUCUUUUAGACCUUGAUUACAUUCGAUAAUCAUAAACUAAUCAAACAGAUUAUAAUUUUAUUUUAUUUUAAAUUGAAAGCGGGGGGAAAAGGGAUUAAUUUUUACAUUUGCUUGUGACUCUAAUGUAAUGCAGUAUAGGCUGUAUUCUGUGUGUUUCCAGUUUUGGAUGUAAAGUACAUGAAAGGCAUUGCUGAGGAGUAGAAAAUUUGCUUGCUCCAUAUUUAAAAAUAUAACUGGCAAUCAAGUAAGUUUUGUUUGAACAUGGAUUUUUUUCUGUUCGUUUUUGUAUUUGAAAUUAUCCUAAAGUGCAUUUUUGAAGUCUUUGCAUUCUUUUCUACUUCCCUCCAAUGGUUUUAUAUAAUAUUGUUAAGAGCUUGACCAUUUUCCCCUUCACUGAGUUUUAUUUGGUAAAUAUGGCUUUUCUUUGUUUUGAAGUGGGAGUUGAUAUUAAUAUUGCUGUUUUUAUUUACUUAUGCACCAGAAUUCAGUGUCAGCACUACUUUGAGAGUAGUGUUUAACUGCAACUGCAGACCACGAAAGGGAAAUGCAUGAUCAAAACAAAGUUUGUUUGUUUUUAAAUGUCACUAAUAAAGUGAUAGCUUUAGUUGUGGGAUGGGUGAGG